GACACCCUCACCGCUGCUCUGCUCACUGGCCAUGUUGGAUUGUGCUGGAUUCAAGCUUCUCAAUGCACUACCACAAAUCACUCUCUGAGGAGGCCCCCGCAAGCCACUGGACUGUGAGAAUACAUUUCACUGAGAAGGAAAAUUGAAGGCGGCAACAUGCCUAGCUGUCACAUUGACUCUUUCUUUUCGCCAGGAACAAGGGGAUAUUGUUCUAUCGCUCCAGAGUGAAAGCAUGCAGGCACUCAACCUGUCGAAACCAUGCUGGGCUGUGUUGAGCUCUGAACUGGAAAAUGCUGGCUGCCUCCCUGCAGCUUUGGACUAUCUGAAGCAGUGGUUCUCAAACAUUUUCAUGUCACAGAACCCUGGAUAAACACACAUUAAGCCAAGGACUGCAGCCAAUAAGAUAACAUCCCCUUGACUGCCAUCUAAUAAAAUCCUUUCCUUAAUGUUGAAUUGUAUAACCAUCUGUGUGCAUCAAUCAUCAUGCUGAUACACUGAGUCUACAUGAGAACAUUUCUAAUAGUUAAAAUACUCUUUUAUAACUUUUAUUUAA